GUGCUCGCUUCAGCAACACAUACACUAAAAUUGGAACAAUACAGAGAUUAGCAUGGCCCCUGUGCAAGGAUAACAUGCAGAUUUGUGAAGCAUUCCACAUUAAA
rfam:Canis lupus familiaris chromosome X, whole genome shotgun sequence.